UUGACAACCAAUUCAUAUAAUCCUCAAUAAGUUUCGGCAAAACUUGAUCUGUAAUGCCAUAUCCUUCGAACGGGAAAUGGAGUUGAGCCGUAUCCUUCAAUUUCUCUUUUCCCUUCUUGCUUGACCCAAAAGAAUUACAAUAUGGAGAUUGAAUAUUUCUCUAAGACAUUCUGUUUCUAUGCGCAGGAGUGACUGAAUUGGUUCUAACUCCAAUCUCAGCUAUUGGAAUGUCAGUGGGUAAUUGACUGUCGGUCAACAAGUACUGGCUGCUAGUUAUAUUCUGUGGAUUGUAAGAAUAUAAUAGUCUAGCAUUAGUAGGAUCUUUCCCCAAAUCUUUGAUAAGUGCAUCUAUUGCUGCUUGAGUUGAUAGCGAUAUUGUUAUUGAAGUGGAAGAUUCCGAUGCAUCCAUUAUUGUUUUAUCGAGCAAAACGUGAGGAAUGUUGUGUUGAACAUUGUCAUCAACAACUUGCUCCAUGAUAUGUUCAUUUAAAUCUUGGUGCGA
rnacentral:misc_RNA from 1 species